rnacentral:rRNA from 1 species
UUUUGGACAAUGGGCGAAAGCCUGAUCCAGCAAUGCCGCGUGUGGGAAGAAGGCCUCCGGGUUGUAAACCACUUUUGUACGGAACGAAAAGGUCUGCCCUAAUACGGUGGGCCCAUGACGGUACCGUAAGAAUAAGCACCGGCUAACUACGUGCCAGCAGCCGCGGUAAUACGUAGGGUGCGAGCGUUAAUCGGAAUUACUGGGCGUAAAGCGUGCGCAGGCGGUUAUAUAAGACAGUUGUGAAAUCCCCGGGCUCAACCUGGGAAUUGCAUCUGUGACUGUAUAGCUAGAGUACGGUAGAGGGGGAUGGAAUUCCGCGUGUAGCAGUGAAAUGCGUAGAUAUGCGGAGGAACACCGAUGGCGAAGGCAAUCCCCUGGACCUGUACUGACGCUCAUGCACGAAA